rnacentral:tRNA from 7 species
GGGGUCGUAGGGUAGUUUGGUAUCCUUGUAGCUUCGGGAGCUAUAGACCUCCUGAGUUCAAAUCUCAACGACCCCA